CCUGAAGAGGUUAUCUCCACCCCUCAGGACUGGACUGACAGAGCAGUCUCCUCCCUCACUUUGCUGGCUCCCUCCAGGGCCAUCUGCACCUGAUGAUACAUCCAACAUAGAAAAAUAUCUGACAUCAGGCCAUAAAGCACCAUUAGCUAUUUAAUCUUGGAAUUUGCUCGAAGAGACUAAAUGAAGACAGUCAAAAAGCCUGAGGCUGAAUCUUCACAGAGGGGUAAUUCUGCACUCCAUUCACUGUGGACCAAACUGUGGAAGACAUGGCGUUAGAAAAGAGGACAAUGCUCCGCUCAUCUUGCACUCCAGCAGUCUCACAAGGGCCUUUCAGGAUAGUGGCCAGUCAGAUGCAAUUCAGAGCAGCCCUAAGCCUCAGCUUGAUUCAGAAACAGGGAGUCAAAAGUUGUUAUUUAAUUUUGUCCUUUGCACAGCAGUCCCCUUCUGAACAUCAUUUGGUCUUGAUGACCUAGGAAGAAUGAACUUUACAAGAAUGUGAAAAUCAGCUGUUUUUUUAUAUUGCUGCCAGGGCCCAUAUUUAGAAAUCUUUGUCAUUCAGUUGUGCAGCAGAUAGUGGCACAGUGUCCGUUUGAAACAUUCCUGUGUUAAGCAGUGGUUGGGAAUAAGUGACUCUUGAACUCACAUCUUUGGAGUGGCUAUAAAAGGAGAUUGCUUUUCAGUUAUUCCCUUUCACUGUAAAGGUAUUUGUAAAUGUGAAAGUUGCCGUUGAUUUUUAGUCAGUUUUGUUUUAUAAACCUUUGCUGUUUGGUGAAGUUUCACAUGUACCCAACUCUCUUUUCCACAUUAAGGAAAGGUUUUGUCUACUUGCCUCUGUGACAUCUGGUAAUGGUUAGUGUGUGCUGUAUGGCCUGCAGCCAUACCACUGCAGUCUGUAUUUUUCUCAGAUCUCACGAGCUAAGCAGAAUCAGGCCGAGUGCGUAUUUGAAUGAGAGACCUCCAAGAAAAACUCAAGGUACUGUAAGUUGUUCCUGAAUCAGUACAAAACAUUCCUCGUUUGAAGCCAGUAUUGAACAAAUGUCCCUGCAUGGUAGUAGGUUGACUUUUUGUGCUGUUAAAGGCAUAGGCUUUUGGAAAAGACAGAUUAUAAAACUCUGUCCCUAACCACUAAUGUCCUAUAAAAGAAACUUAUAUACAGGAGAACUAAACAACCUCACUUACUAAAGCAGCCCAGAAAAAGCAGUGGUGUGGAACUGCACCAACAGUAGGAGACACUUCGUCUCUCUGUUGAAGGGGGGAGGGCUCCUAUUACCACAAUGAAUUAUGGAGUGCAUCUGAUCCAAAAGAGAGGUAUACAGUGUGUACACAGUCCUCAGAACAGGAGUAAAAAUCUGCCUGCCCAUUGAUAUGAGUCACUCAUUGGACAUUUAGAAUCUGGACCUUGGUGAGGCCUAAAUAAAACAUAACAGAAUCACUCCCUUAAUCUAAUGCGGAUAAAAUCUUUUUACAACUGUGGUUCAGGAUCCUACAAUUAUCAUGAGUAGGGAAGGAGUGUGGCCCUGUGGUAAGAAGGGAAGUAGGAGUUUGGCUUCUGGAUUCUAUUCUUGGCUAUUCUAUUCAUGAGUUCUGGGACCUUGGGAGAAUCACUUAACCUGUCAUCUGAGGUUCAAACCUCUGUGAGCAGUUAUAAUGAUACAUGCCAGAAUAAUUCCAUUGCUGAAAGAUUUAAUCAAGUGUCCUAAAAUCUUCAGACGAAAGGAUCAAAGAAAGAAAAGUGAAAAUCUAUAAUAAUAAUGAGGAUGAUUGUUCUUAAUUGUGAAACCAGUUCCUGAACUCCUUACUCGUUUUUUACUCAAACUUUACUCAGACACCAUUAUUUUUAAACAUUUUAAAAGUGUUCUCAGGGGUCUCCCAAAGCAUUACUAUACCAAAUGAAUUCGUAAUUCUAAUGGAAGUCACUAAUGAAUGAACAACAGGGGUCAAUCUCACAUCUUGUUGCCUCCACAACUUAAAAACAAAAUACAACUAUUUGGGAAAUACCUUUUAAAUUCCAUCUCACAGGUUCUUCAGAAGAAUGUGGUUCAGGAGGUAAGUGAAGGAGACCUGCUGGGAAAAGUCAGAAAUGUAGUUUUCUAGGUAUCCUGACCAUGAAGAAAGACUUGUCUCUUUAAACCUGUAAGGGGGUUGUUAGAUGGACAAAAUAUAUCAUGCCACAAGAAUCUGCCUGGUUGAUAUUGGCUCUGACAAAUAACUUUAUAAGGGCAAAAUCCUGAUGUGCAGUCUUCAAUUGCACUCAUAGUUUAAAUGCAAUUUCUACUUAUGCAAAAACUCCCAUUAAUUAUAGUCAGUAUCACACCCCAAAAACUGUUUUCUUCUGCAAAAUUUCCAGCCUAUUCUCUCCAUCUCACCUCCCAUCUUUUUAAUUCCUUUGUUUCCAUUCUCAGCAUUUCCUCCUGAUUUUGCAUCUUUCCUCUUCUGUUGAAUGUGACACUUUUUUUCUCAAUCCCUCCCUUGAAUUUAUGUUAUUGGGGAGCUUGGUCAUGUUUGAAGAUAGGCUGCAGACCUAGAUAGGCUGUCAAGUUGGAUGGAUCAGAACCAGAUGAAGUGUAAAGUGCUCCAUCUGGGGACGAACAAUCCCCAACAUACUUACAGGCUCAAUGGCACCGAACUAACUAGCACCACAACUGAAAGGGACCUAGGGGUAAUAAUAGACCAUAGUAUGAAUAUUAGCCAUCAGUGCGAUGCUGUAGCCAGCAGGGCAAACAAUACCCUGGCAUGAAUCAACCAAUGCAUCUCAAGCAAAACCAAGGAAGUGAUUCUUCUGCUUGACUCAGCAUUGAUGAGACUGCAGCUGGAGUACUGUGUCUAGUUCUGGACACCAUACUUCAACAAGGAUGUGGACAAGUUUGAGAGAGUCCAGAGAAGAGCCACUCAUAUGAUCAGAGACUUGCAGGUCAAGCCAUAUGAGGAAAGGCUGAGGGACCUGGGACUCUUCAGCCUAAAAAAGAGAAGGCUGAGAGGGGACAUGGUAGCAGCUUACCACUAUAUCAGGGGCAUGCAUGAAGGGCUCAGUAAACAACUGUUCACCAGGGCACCCUUGGGGAAAACAAGGAGUAAUGGCCACAAACUCCUGGGAGACCGUUUCAGGCUUAACACUAGGAAAAACUUCUUCCCAAUCAGGGUGUCCAAACUGUGGAAUUAACUCCCUCCAGAGGUGAUGCAGUCACCUAACCAGGAAAUCUUCAAGAGGAAAUUGGACAGUCAACUUGCUGGGGUCACCUAACCCCAGAUGUCUUUUCUGCCUAGUGGAGGGGGCUGGACCCGAUGAUUUUGUGAAGUCCCUUCUAGCCCCUUACAAUCUAUGAACUGGAAAUUUUAGCCCUUCUGAUUAUCAUCAUCUGACUGGUUUUGGUUUGUUUGUUUUUUUGUCCAUUGUCUUUUGUCUUCCUGCGCUUACUAUUAACCCCACCUUCUUUUCCAGCAACUUGCUCUAGGAUAACUUACAGUCCCACCAAAACCAUCUCUCCAAAAUUUCCAAUGGCAAAUAUCUAGAAGCUUCAUUUAUGUCUUUUAAGUGGCUUGGUAUUUCUCAUGGGGACAGGAGUCUGUUAGUUUAUAUUAAACCUCUGCUCACACAUCCUUUUCCAGCAUAAGACCACGAGGUUUCUAAGCCAUAAAAUAUUUAAAGUUUGCAUUAUGGCCUAUAUAAGUGAAUUGGAGUCUUUCCAUAAAUAGGAAGGAUCUAUAAUCUUUUGAUUAAAACUCUCAGCCAGGAGUCAGGUGAUCUGGGUAUAAUUUCUAGCUUUGCUACAGACUUCCUGGGUGAUUUUAGGGAUGGCUUGUUCUUCUGCAGUUCUCCCUCUGUAACUCUGAGACAAUAAUACUUAUUCACCUUUUCUGUCUAGUCUGCUUAGACCAUAAGCUUUUCAGAACAGGGACUGUCACUUACUGUGUGGAUAUACAAUGCCUUCCACAUUAGAAUCCUAUUUUCAACUGAAGCAUCUAAUGGCUACUGUAAGGCUAAGAAUAAAUACUAAUUUUAGAGGUAAAACAUAAUUUUAGCCUUCCAUUCAUUUAUGGUUGAUAUUUUCAAAUUUCUGGGAAGUUUAUCUUGGGAUCAGUCUGAGCAAAGAAUAUUCCUGUUAAACUGUGCUAAAUAAUGUGAAUUUCCUUUCUCAUUUAGACUACUUACUAUCUAUUGAAGGAGAAUGUGUGUUAGAAUUAAGACCAUCAAACUCAUUUCACCUUUGUUAUACUUAAACUAAUUAGUCUCAGAGAUGAAAACCACAUUUCUCAGAUUCCAGAUAAUCUUCCAGCACUUCAUGCUGAUUUUAUUCUGCUUCUAUCUGUGCACAGAUUAAACAAAACCCACAGUUAGUUUCAUCUGCUGGCUUUAAAAAAAUCAUGCCACAGAAAGUGGAAAAAAAUUAAAUCCAAUGGCAAGGUUUGCAGUGCCACGAGUUUGCUCAUCCUUAGUUUAUCUUCUGCAAAUGAGCAUGUAUAAAACAGUCCACCUACUGUUCUAGUUGCUACGAUAUAAUGCAGUUCCACUGAAUGAUCCUGUUAACCUAACCUUCAAUUUGCUGGGAUUUGAACUCUGAAUUACAGCUUACUAACAUAGUUUAACAGCUGGUACAAGGGCUUCUUUUGAAUUUUUAAUCACAUGAAUUAAAGAUUGCUGGAGAUGCUUUUCAGACCUCCACUAGCAGUGAUCCAAUGUACAGAAAGACAAGUAUAGGUAGCCCCAAGAGAAUUAAGAGCACAAAGGUACUGUGGUUCGUGAAGCUAUGCUGCACUCUUUGCUUGCCAAAUUAGGAGUAAGAAUACAAAUUAUUCAUAAGAAAAUAAAUGCAUAUUAUGGCUUCAAUAGGAAUAUAAGGCAUUUAGUUGUUACACAUAAAAAUACAAUCAAAAGGAAUUUUAAAUGGAAUGCAUCUCAAAUAGGACACGGCUUUAAUAAUGAAGCCUGGUUCAACAAAAUGCUUCCUUUGUUUCGCACAUAUGUCGGAGACAAGGAAAGAGAGGGAAAUGUGUGUGUGUGUGUGUGUGUGUGUAUACACACACAUGCAUAUCUAUAUAUAUAUAAAUAUGUAUGUAUAUAUAUGUAGAUGUAUGUAUAUAUACUUGAUUACAGUUGAUAUCUGGAAUGCUGUGAAAACAAACAUGACUGUCUGUAGAUAUUUCAGUGUGGAUGUAAUUGUUUGUUGCUAUUGUACAAUUCAUGGAAUGUGUGUGUUUAGAUUCUGUCCUUUUGGUUUUCCCAAUAUUUAUUCCAAGAUUAUCUUUUUUAUUGAGGAUAUUUCUCAGUGAAAAAAAAAGAACACUAUAGUACAACUGGAAGCUUCUCUACCCAAACAUGCCAGCUGACGAGUGCUGUGAGAACUUGGGAAAACAGUCUCUGUGUUCCAAGUUCACUAGCCCUGCAAGCUUAAAGAUCAGCAUAAUAAAGCUGACAGAGUUGUUUAAACAAAGUAAGGAGAAAAAAAAAUUAGGGCAGCAGGAACAAGAAAGCAUGUUGCUUCUUAAUUAUGCUGUGUUCUCUCUCUAAUGGAUUGGCCUCCCAACACACUCUAAGUAAAGCAACUGGCAUGUGGCAUCUUCUACAGAUAGACGAGCAGUGGCAAGUGUACAGCUGUUCGUGCUGACACACAGGUGUUUGAUUUUUUGGAUUCGUUAGCUAGACAGCUUUUUAAGGGUGUACGGGGGAAUCAUCCACAGU